CGGGUGAGUAACACGUGGGCAACCUGCCCUCAGCUCUGGGAUAACUCCAAGAAAUUGGGGCUAAUACCGGAUAUGACUGCUGACCGCAUGGUCUGGUGGUGGAAAGAUUUAUCGGCUGGGGAUGGGCCCGCGGCCUAUCAGCUUGUUGGUGGGGUAGUGGCCUACCAAGGCGACGACGGGUAGGGGACCUGAGAGGGUGACCCCCCACACUGGCACUGACACACGGGCCAG
rnacentral:rRNA from 1 species